rfam:Myotis lucifugus cont2.23459, whole genome shotgun sequence.
GGCCGGGUAGCUCAGUUGGUUAGAGCAUUGUCCCGAUAUGCCAAGAUUGUGGGUUUGAUCCCCCAUCAGGGCUC